GGCUUUAAUUAAAGCUAUUUUGAAAGUAGUUUAAAAGGAAAUUCCUUUAAAGUUU
rnacentral:tRNA from 1 species